CUACCAUGCAGUCGAGCGGGCGUAACAAUCCGUCUCCGGCUGACGGGUGAGUAACGCGUGGGAACGUUCCUUUUGGUUCCGAACAACCGGGGGAAACUUGUGCUAAUACCGGAUAAGCCCUUACGGGGAAAAAUUUAUCGCCUAAGGAUCCGCCCGUCUCUGAUUAGCUAUUUGGUAGGGUAACGGCCUACCAAGGCGACUAUCAAUAGCUGGUCUGAGGGGAUGAUCCCCCACUUUGGGACUGAGACGCGGCCCAAACUCCUACGGGAGGCACCUGUGGGGAAUAUUGGACAGUGGGGGCAACCCUGAUCCUGCCAUGCCGCGUGAGUGAUGAAGGCCCUAGGGUUGUAAACCUCUUUUGUGCGGGAAGAUAAUGACGGUACCGCAAGAAUAACCCCCGGCUAACUUCGUGCCAGCCCCCGCGGUAAUACCAGGGGGGCUAGCGUUGCUCGAAAUCACUGGGUGUAAAGGGUGCAUAGGCGGGUCUUUAAGUCGGGGGUGAAAUCCUGGAGCUCAACUCCAGAACUGCCUUUGAUACUGUAGAUCUUGAAUUCAGGAGACGUGAGUGGUACUGCGAGUGUAGAUGUGAAUUUCGUAUAUAUUCGCAAAAACACCAGCGGCGAACGCAGCUCUCUGGCCUUAUACUGACGCUGAAGCACGAAAGCGUGGAGAGCAAACAGAAUUAUAUACUCUGGUAGUCCACCCCGUAGAAUAUGAAUGCGAUCCGUUAGUGCGUUUACUCACUAGUGGCGCAGCUAACGCUAUAAGCACUCCGCCUGGGGAGUACGGUUGCUAGAUUAAAACUCCAAUGAAUUGACGGGGGCCCGCACUAGCGGUGGAGCAUGUGGUUUAAUUCUACUCAACUCGCAGAACCCUACCAGCCCUUGACAUGUCGAGGACCGAUCGCAGAGAUAUGACACUCUCUUCAGACCCUUGAACACACGUGCUGCAUGGCUGUCGUCGCCUCGUGUCGUGAGAUGUCGUGUGAAGUGCCGCAACGAGCGCAGCGUCUGUCCUCAGCUGCUACCAUUUCUCUGAGCACUCUAAGGAGACUUCACGUAAUCAGCCGCUUAGACGGUGCGGAUGACGUCGAGUCUGCAUGGCCCUUACGGACUGGGCUACGUACGUGCUACAAUGCCGGUGACAAUGGGAUGCUAAGGG
rnacentral:rRNA from 1 species